UCCAUCGAACACCUGGCGAAGUCUGGAGCGACGCUUAUGGGAAACCUGCCUAUGUAGGAGUAGAAGGCCGAUAAGGCGUUAUCUGCGUUAUCAUUCACCGCGUCUUUGUUUGUCGUACGAUGUCUCGAAUCAAGUCUGGCUAUGAGCGGCGUACAGAUGUGAACAGAUGGAGAGAAGACAGCAGGAAGGAGUGGGGGACAGGGGGGGUGCUGACGCAGUUGUUUGGUGCAAGGUACAGUAAAUGCUGCCACCGUCGCGGUGUCUAUGAUGGAGAAAAUACCCCCGCUCUGAGGUGUUCGUGCGUCCCCUUUGGAGAAGAUAACAUAUUGACAGCCCACGGGGCGCACGCAGAUAUGACAGCAUCGGCGUGACGCCGCCGCCGCCGCCGGGCCUUCAACGUGCUCUACGCCGCCGCCGAAAAAAAUGCCCACGGCGCGCACCUCUAAUUGCAAGUUGCAACAGAACCGUUCCACGGUGCUCGCUCGGAUGGCUCGGAUGGAGAACAAAGGAGAAUGUGAUUUCUGCGUCGUGAGCUGCUUCUGCUAAUUUCAGUCUCGAUUCUGUUGGCUUCGCUUCUUGGAAGGAUUUGGCUUUCUUCAUGCUGCACUUCCAAUAUUGGAUCUCGAAAUGUCCCGAGAUUCAUAUCGUACCUGAUCAUCUUAAGAAACGCGGACUGCAGAUUGUCAUAUUGUCUGUCCAUUGUGCGAUACCUUGUGACAUUGAAACAUGUGUAUACGUGUGAAACACUUCCCGACAGUGUGCUCGAGAUGUUUUCCAUUAUUGUGUCAACCUGGAUUAGAGCCCUGCACCAUCCGCGGAUGGAAGCGGAUAUAUAUCCGGAAGAUACUUGCGGAUUCGGAUGAAAAUUUAACACUUUCUGCGGUGCGCGGAUCGGAUGCGGAUGGCGCGAGGUCGGAUGCGGAUACGAAGGCAGCGGAUCGGAUGCGGACAUACCGCGUGCUGUCAUUUUUCCACCAGCAAUUUAUUUGUAUUGCGCGCCGACAGCAAGCGCAUGCUCGGGUUCACCUUUGACCAUGCACGGCGGCAAGACGGGAGAGGAGGCAUUCUGGCGUCUCGAACCGCGCGAGCACCGACGAGGUAGCGUUCCACGCGUUCCAGAAGUAUCUCCAUAUCGAGUUUGUUGAAAGGUUUACCUUUGCUUGUCGUCAUGACUGAGUUCUUCCGUGACAGCAUGGAGGCAUCCGAAAUUAUACAAACAUGCUUCCGGCGGUCUUUACGCGUCUUUCGAAACGUGCGGAUUUUGCGGAUCGGAUGCGGAUGGUGCGUUUUGCUCAGCGGAUCGGAUGCGGUGUAAGCUGUUGUGUAUGGUGCGGAUGCGGAUGCCAAAAAUCUCAUCCGCGCAGGGCUCUAUCCUGGAUAUGCCAAUUCAAGGUAUGUA